UUAACAAAAACUAAAAACUCAAAGCACAUAAAUAAAUAUAGCCAGUCUUAUAAUAAACAAAAACAAAAAAAAAUGCAGAUAUUUGCAGAAUAUUUGCUUGAAACGGCGCUCCUAUUAAGUCUUCGUACAUAUAUCUUUCAAUGGCGAUGUUAUAUGGUAUAAUGAGCGGUAAAAUGUAGAAAAUUACUUUAAAGGGGUUAUGUCCUCUUUGCCUAUACACGCAUCACAUCAAGUCAUUUAAUGCCGAGUACGCGACGUUUGUCAUUUGUAAACUCAGCCUAUGAGAGUGAGAAAAUUUUUACUGGUUUAUUACUUUUGAAGAAGGGUGAUGUGCUUAUAUUUUAAACAUUCUCACGAACACUAGUUAAAGAUCAAUUCUACAGGCAUUAACACUUGAACACAACCAAAACCGGUCAAUGUACUUAGCGUUACAAAAGUGCUACCAAUUGCUGUUGAUUUGACAUAUCUUAGAAAUUCAGCUAUUUCGUGGCUGAACUUUAUCCGUCGUGUGCUUGUGUGUGAAGAGGUCUGAGUGAGGAAAAUCGUGUGAAAGAAAAUUUUCACUAUCAGAAUUUUCCCUGCCGAGCUCAAGCUUACGCGUGUUACGUUCGAGUUUCCCAACAACCAUAAAAAAUUUCACCUUCAGUUAAAGAAAAAAAAAAUUGCAAACAUUUGCCUAUAAAUCGCGCACCGUUUAUUAAAAACGCCUCCAAACGCAGCUGUUUGAAAAAGUAAAAUUUUUGAAUCAACAAAUUAACGCACAAAAGAGCGCCAAAACCAGACAAUUCCAAGAAAAUUUUAUUAAAAAUAUAUUUUGCCAAAAUAAUCAAAGGAGAAAAAUUAAAUUUCGCAACGGCAAAUGCAUUCGCUACAAGCUAUAUAGAGAAAAAAGCACACUGCAGUUUUUGGUGAAAUUUUCUCAGAAAAAAAAA